GAUGAAGUUCUGCCUACAUAGAGUCAAACACAGCUUGCCAGCCUCAGCAAGUCAGCGUAAUUGGAUGAUUUUUCCUAAUUAGUAACCAACUUUGCCCGACUCAUUUCUGUAGGAGGGCAGUUGCCCCCAGGUUCUGCGCACCCAAAGUCUGUAGUCAAAGUAUCCGUCUUUCUUACCUGCCGUUUAAGAUCUUCAAUGACUGAGAAAUAUCUAUGAUAGUCUUGAUCCAAACCCCUGCAAGGACCAGGCUCAUAUUUCUCAUACCAGCCCUUGAUUUUCUGCUCGAGGUCAGCGUUGGCCUCCUCCAGAGCACGCACAUGGUCCAGAAACCUCCUCCAGAAGAAACGCUCCCAAGAGUACAAGAAAAACUGCUUCCUGCCCUCGACCCGCCACAUGCAUUCCCAGCCCUGAAGCCUGUUCUUCCACCAGACCACCGACCGG